AUUGAACGCUGGCGGCAGGCCUAACACAUGCAAGUCGAACGGUAACAGGAAACAGCUUGCUGUUUCGCUGGCGAGUGGCGGACGGGUGAGUAAUGUCUGGGAAACUGCCUGAUGGAGGGGGAUAACUACUGGAAACGGUAGCUAAUACCGCAUAACGUCGCAAGACCAAAGAGGGGGACCUUCGGGCCUCUUGCCAUCGGAUGUGCCCAGAUGGGAUUAGCUAGUAGGUGGGGUAACGGCUCACCUAGGCGACGAUCCCUAGCUGGUCUGAGAGGAUGACCAGCCACACUGGAACUGAGACACGGUCCAGACUCCUACGGGAGGCAGCAGUGGGGAAUAUUGCACAAUGGGCGCAAGCCUGAUGCAGCCAUGCCGCGUGUAUGAAGAAGGCCUUCGGGUUGUAAAGUACUUUCAGCGGGGAUGAAGGGAGUAAAGUUAAUACCUUUGCUCAUUGACGUUACCCGCAGAAGAAGCACCGGCUAACUCCGUG
rnacentral:rRNA from 1 species